GACGAACGCUGGCGGCGUGCUUAACACAUGCAAGUCGAGCGGUAAGGCCCUUCGGGUACGACGAGCGGCGAACGGGUGAGUAACACGUGGGUGACCUGCCUCUAGCUCUGGGAUAAGCCUGGGAAACUGGGUCUAAUACCGGAUAUGACUCCACGGCGCAUGUUGUGGGGUGGAAAGCCUUGUGUGGCUAGAGAUGGGCCCGCGGCCUAUCAGCUUGUUGGUGGGGUGAUGGCCACCAAGGCGACGACGGGUAGCCGGCCUGAGAGGGCGACCGGCCACACUGGGACUGAGACACGGCCCAGACUCCUACGGGAGGCAGCAGUGGGAAUCUUGCGCAAUGGGCGAAAGCCUGACGCAGCGACGCCGCGUGAGGGAUGACGGCC
rnacentral:rRNA from 1 species